GAUGAACGCUGGCGGCGUGCCUAAUACAUGCAAGUCGGGCGAACGGACGAGAAGCUUGCUUUUCUGAUGUUAGCGGCGGACGGGUGAGUAACACGUGGAUAACCUACCUAUAAGACUAGGAUAACUUCGGGAAACCGGAGCUAAUACCGGAUAAUAUUUUGAACCGCAUGGUUCAAAAGUGAAAGACGGUCUUGCUGUCACUUAUAGAUAGAUCCGCGUUGCAUUAGCUAGUUGGUAAGGUAACGGCUUACCAAGGCAACGAUGCAUAGCCGAUCUGAGAGGGUGAUCAGCCACACUGGAACUGAGACACGGUCCAGACUCCUACGGGAGGCAGCAGUAGGGAAUCUUCCGCAAUGGGCGAAAGCCUGACGGAGCAACGCCGCGUGAGUGAUGAAGGUCUUCGGAUCGUAAAACUCUGUUAUUAGGGAAGAACAUAUGUGUAAGUAACUGUGCACAUCUUGACGGUACCUAAUCAGAAAGCCACGGCUAACUACGUG
rnacentral:rRNA from 1 species